rnacentral:rRNA from 1 species
AGUCACUGACAUUAGAUACCCGUGUAGUCCAGGGUGUAAACGCUGCAGACUUGGUGUUGGAAGUCCGUUUGGGGCAUUCAGUGCCGGAGAGAAGUUGUUAAGUCUGCUACUUGGGAGUACGUCCGCAAGGAUAGAAACUUAAAGGAAUUGGCGGGGAGCACCACAACGGGUGGAGCCUGCGGUUUAAUUGGACUCAACGCCGGAAAUCUCACCGGAUAGGACAGACAUAUGAUAGUCGGGCUGAAGACUCUACUUGAUGAUCUG